GUUAAACAAGUUUCCUUUUCAUUGUUUUUUGCUAUUUUACCCAGCCCUUAAAAUCUCAACUAUCAUUGCGGUUAGCACAUUUACCAGAGAAGCACUGAUCAGGACAAAAGAAGUGCAGAACUUUUCUUUAUAUUUAUUUACUUCAACAGCCAUUAUAUCAGCACAUUAUGUAUAGACCAGUCAUGGCUUCCUGUACAUCUGUGUCACUAUGGAUGAUUGCCCUUCUUGUGUUUGGAGUGUUGGCAAUCUUUGGAAUAACUAUUGGUCUCCUUGUUCAUUUUCUGGCAGUAGCAAACAGGAUCUACUUCUACCAAGGUAGCUUUAAAAUGCUGGAUAUCCCAUAUAAUAGCAAUUAUGAAAGGGAGACAUCACCAGAAAAUAACUAUCUUAGCCAAAUUCUUGAGACUAGAUGGUUGAUGCAUUUCAAAGUUCUAGCAUUUACAGACAAUAUAUCUUUUCUCAAGUCAUCACACUGUCCUGAUAACAACAGAGUGACAGCACAUAUAUGGCUGGUAUUCAAGGGUCCAAGAUCAAUGAAAGAAAACACAAGAAAAAGAAUUGAAAGUAUCUUACAUCAGAUGCUGAAGAACCACUCAGGAUCCUUGACUACAGAUCUGAAUUCUCUGAGGCUUAUGGAAAUCAGUAAGGUCAGUGCUGCAAAAAUUAUCAACAACCGUAAGCUGUGGGAGACGAGCAAGGAUGCCACCUACAUUUGAUAGAGUCAGGGGAGGUUCCAUUGAUCAGGAAGGAGAAUGACCAUGACAAGCAAGCCUUAAAAUGAGUGGGCAACACUACUGUGGGGCAUCAUUGAUCAGUGAAAGACACUUGGUGACUGCAGCUCACUGUUUUAAAGUGACAAAAAAUCCAAAAAACUAUACUGUCAGCUUUGGCACGAAAGUAACUCUUCCCUAUAUGCAACAUGAUGUUCAACAAAUUAUUAUUCAUGAAGACUACAUCCAGGAUGAACAUCAUGAUGAUAUCGCACUUAUACUGCUCACUAAAAAAGUUUUAUUUAAGAAUGAUGUACAUCGAGUUUGUCUUCCUGAAGCCACACAGAUUUUUCCACCUGGUGAAGGAGUUGUUGUUACAGGAUGGGGAAGACUUUCAUUUAAUGGUAAACACCUAGUGUUCCUUUAGAAAGCAUCUGUGAAGAUUACUGAUACAAACACUUGUAAUGCUAAAGAAGCCUAUCGUAGUAUGGUACAGGAUAGAGUGCUAUGUGCUGGGUACAUGGAAGGAAAUAUAGACGCCUGCCAGGGAGACUCUGGAGGACCACUAGUUCAUCCUAAUUCUCUAAAUAUUUGGUAUAUUUGGUACCUUGUUGGAGUAGUGAGCUGGGGAAGGAAUGAAUGUGGUGCAAUCAAUAGUCCAGGGGUCUACACG